CCAAAAUGACCAAAGGGAUAUUCCAUGCUCAGCAAUAAAAACUGAGGGAAGGGUGAUUUUCAGGAAGGUAGACAUUUCUCUGAUAAUGGCUGAGAUUGGUCCGCUUAUGACAGGCGAACGAAUUACUGCAUCCUGGUUCCCUGUGCUUGCAGGAGUUAAACCGUGAGCACGAAGUGGCCUUUCCGUUUGCUGAACUGGAACGCUGAGUAACUAGCAUGACUGCCUUCUCUUUCAGGGUGGACUUUGAUGUCAGAAGUUAGAUAUUUCAUCUAACUAUCUCUGAGAUAAACAGAACAUUGCAAGUAUUCACUGGAUGGUUUACGCAGGAGUGAAAUACUCAUAAAGUGCAUUAAACAUCAACUUGGCCACAUCUUUUACAGUGCAUCUGCAAAGACACGGCGGGACUAGUGCUUCAGGGAAGUGACAGACUUGCUGCGCAGACCCGAACUGGUGGAACUGCAUGUGGGAUAAGAGUGGAUGACACAAGGACUUCCCUGAGUGGCCACAGAAACUGGAGCACAUUCCCACAGCAUGAAAAAUUUGCGCAGCCUAUUCCCAGCUGCCUGCCUUCCUGAGGAUAAAUCAGAGAACGUGGUGAAUGAAUUGUAAGCUGUAAUAAUGAUCCUUGGACUGUGAGUGGGGAGGAAGC